rnacentral:piRNA from 1 species
UUUUCCUUUCUUCGUACCCAG